rnacentral:rRNA from 1 species
AGAGUUUGAUCCUGGCUCAGGAUGAACGCUAGCGGCAGGCCUAACACAUGCAAGUCGAGGGGCAUCACGAGUAAUGCUUGCAUUACUUGGUGGCGACCGGCGCACGGGUGCGUAACGCGUAUGCAACCUACCUAUUACAAGGGGAUAAUCUGAAGAAAUUUGGUUUAAUACCUUAUAUUAUAUAUAUAGGCAUCUAUAUUUAUUAAAAUUUACGGAGGUAAUAGAUGGGCAUGCGUGACAUUAGCUAGAUGGUAAGGUAACGGCUUACCAUGGCAACGAUGUCUAGGGGAACUGCGAGGUUAAUCCCCCACACUGGUACUGAGACACGGACCAGACUCCUACGGGAGGCAGCAGUGAGGAAUAUUGGUCAAUGGACGGAAGUCUGAACCAGCCAUGCCGCGUGCAGGAUGACGGCUCUAUGAGUUGUAAACUGCUUUUAUAAGAGAGUAAAACUAGGUACGUGUACCUACUUGCGAUUAUCUUAUGAAUAAGGAUCGGCUAACUCCGUGCCAGCAGCCGCGGUAAUACGGAGGAUCCGAGCGUUAUCCGGAUUUAUUGGGUUUAAAGGGUGCGUAGGUUGCAUAAUAAGUCAGUGGUUAAAUACCAUAUCUCAACUAUGGGAGUGCCAAUGAAACUAUUAAGCUAGAGAAUGGGUGCAGCAGGCGGAAUGUGUAAUGUAGCGGUGAAAUGCAUAGAUAUUACACAGAACACCGAUUGCGAAGGCAGCUUGCUAAUCCAUAUCUGACACUGAUGCACGAAAGCGUGGGGAUCAAACAGGAUUAGAUACCCUGGUAGUCCACGCCGUAAACGAUGAUAACUUGUUGUAGGAUAUAUUGAAUAUUCUGUAACUAAGGGAAACCGAUAAGUUAUCCACCUGGGGAGUACGACCGCAAGGUUGAAACUCAAAGGAAUUGACGGGGGCCCGCACAAGCGGAGGAACAUGUGGUUAAUUCGAAGCAACGCGAAGAACCUUACCUAAACUUGACAUCCUUAUGACCGAGACUUAAUCGUCUUUUUACUAGCUUGCUAGUACAUAAGUGACAGGUGGUGCAUGGUUGUCGUCAGCUCGUGUCGUGAGAUGUUGGGUUAAGUCCCGCAACGAGCGCAACCCCUAUCUUUAGUAGCCAUCAUUAAGUUGGGCACUCUGGAGAGACUGCCAAGGAUAACUUGGAGGAAGGUGGGGAUGACGUCAAAUCAUCAUGCCCCUUAUGUUUAGGGCUACACACGUGCUACAAUGGCUGCUACAAAGGGAAGCAACGUCGCAAGGCCAAGCAAACCUCAAAAAAGCAGUCCCAGUUCGGACUGUGGUCUGCAACUCGACCGCAUGAAGUUGGAAUCGCUAGUAAUCGCGAAUCAGAAUGUCGCGGUGAAUACGUUCCCGGGUCUUGUACACACCGCCCGUCACACCAUGGGAGUUGGGGGGGCCCAACGCCGGUGACCCAACCCGUAAGGGAGGGAGCCGUCUAAGGCAAAACCAAUAACUGGGGUGAAGUCGUAACAAGGUAACCGUAA